rnacentral:lncRNA from 1 species
GUCCCGGGUUUCCAGGAUCACACCCUGGGCUGAAGGCGGCGCUAAACUGCUGAGCCACUGGGGCUGCCCUUUUGAGAUGUUUUAAACAAACUGUCUGAUGCCAGAGGCCAAGGAGUUGGACCUUGGGGAGGGAGUGCAUGAUUAAUCCUAAUCCUUUAUUCCUUGAUUGAGCUUAUGCUCUUUAAUCUCUUUUAGCUUCUAUUUCCUGAUUUGUAAACCAGGAGUGGUACUUUUCUAGGUGGUAGAGACGGAUGUGCUGAAAAGUAGAAGAAAAUGUUAGACGCAGAAAACUCCCUGCAAGUGCAUGGGAUAUUCGUCGUGGGCUUGCCCAGGCAUUGGUGAUGAAACCAGAAGCAAAGCAAUGUGUCCAGAGCAUGGAUGCUGAUACCAGACUACCUGGGUUCAAAUCACUGCUCAGUCAUCUGCUGUGUGACUUGGGACAGAAUUAAGACUUGGGCAAGUUAAAUAACAUGUUCAAGAUCAUCAAUGACUCCAGAAUUGAACAACGAUCCCUUUGCUCAGAAGACACCAAGUCACAGCAAAGCCACUGCUUGCCCUUCUCAUUGUUC